rnacentral:tRNA from 1 species
GGGAGUAUAGCUCAAUGGUAGAGUACAUGCUUAGCAUGCAUGGGUUCAAUCUCCAGUACCUCCA